CAGCAGCCGCGGUAAUACGUAGGGGGGCCAGCGUUGCUCGGAAUGACUGGGCGUAAAGGGUCCGUAGGCGGUGCGACAAGUCGGAAGUGAAAUCCCGGAGCUCAACUCCGGGGCUGCUUCCGAAACUGCCGCGCUAGAGUGCGGGAGAGGGGAGUGGAAUUGCCGGUGUAGCGGUGAAAUGCGUAGAUAUCGGCAGGAACACCGGUGGCGAAGGCGGCUCCCUGGACCGCAACUGACGCUGAGACACGAAAGCUGGGGGAGCAAACAGGAUUAGAUACCCUGGUAGUCCCAGCCCUAAACGAUCAGAACUAGGCGUGGGCCCCGUUCGGGGUCCGUGCCGCAGCUAACGCGUUAAGUUCUGCGCCUGGGGAGUACGGUCGCAAGGUUGAAACUCAAAGGAAUUGAC
rnacentral:rRNA from 1 species